CGGUGUUAAACUAGCCUGCAAAAAGACCAACUGACCCUUCGACGUCCCAUUUGCCGCUCUCUGUGGACAAUUCGAGCUGGAACAUAUGCAAGCAAUGCAAGAAAGGCGACCUGACGAGCAGAAAAAGCAUCAGAGUCAGUUGAACGAUCACAAUCAGUUUCAUCAAAAUGUGAUAGUGAUGAGAAAUGGCGAUCGGGUGGACAACUCUGAGCCCUUGUGGAUCACCACAGCACGGCGUCCAUGGGAUCCUCCAUCCGCUGAAAGCAGCAGGAUUAGAGCCUUCUGUACUGGAAGAAAACUCAGGGAUCGACUCGACUUCCCUAUUCAUAGAGUGUUCGUCUUCCCUUUCCUUUGUUGCAUCCAGAGUCCAGACGGCUUUCGAGGUUGUCUCUGUACUUUGCGCUGUUCAAGAUGACAAUAACCAGCGAAAAUGUUCCCAUUGAACCCUCCAAGCUCAAGGUUUGCUGAUUGGAGCACAUAAGCCCACCAUUAUCUCCCAGGUCGGCGGGUUAGGGCUGCGGAUUGGAGCAAUCAAGAAGGGGCACCGACUAUGGUAGCAGAAGGGAGUGUGGGUAGUAGUGAUUUCAGCAAUCAACUGUUGACCGGCGAGCUAGGGAUUAAGAUUUCAUUCAUAUGCAAGGAUAAUUUGGGGAGAAAAUUAGCCACUUCAGUGAUGAUGUUAUCACUUGACUGGGAUAUCUACCAGGAAGGGUAGGGUCUUGAUAUUUAUGAAAGUUCGUGGGAACUUAAUAUUAAGCCAAAGUUUGGGGAGAGGAAUGUAAUUUACAUACAAUAUUUAUUUUAAUAUAUUAAACAUAUGCAUAAUCAGAUUAAAAGGA